rnacentral:rRNA from 1 species
AUUGAACGCUGGCGGCAUGCCUUACACAUGCAAGUCGAACGGCAGCACGGGUGCUUGCACCUGGUGGCGAGUGGCGAACGGGUGAGUAAUACAUCGGAACAUGUCCUGUAGUGGGGGAUAGCCCGGCGAAAGCCGGAUUAAUACCGCAGACGAUCUACGGAUGAAAGCGGGGGACCUUCGGGCCUCGCGCUAUAGGGUUGGCCGAUGGCUGAUUAGCUAGUUGGUGGGGUAACGGCCUACCAAGGCGACGAUCAGUAGCUGGUCUGAGAGGACGACCAGCCACACUGGGACUGAGACACGGCCCAGACUCCUACGGGAGGCAGCAGUGGGGAAUUUUGGACAAUGGGCGAAAGCCUGAUCCAGCAAUGCCGCGUGUGUGAAGAAGGCCUUCGGGUUGUAAAGCACUUUUGUCCGGAAAGAAAUCCUUGGCCCUAAUACGGUCGGGGGAUGACGGUACCGGAAGAAUAAGCACCGGCUAACUACGUG